CCUACGGGAGGCAGCAGUAAGGAAUAUUGGUCAAUGGACGCAAGUCUGAACCAGCCAUGCCGCGUGAAGGAUUAAGGUCCUCUGGAUUGUAAACUUCUUUUAUCUGGGACGAAAAAAGGCGAUUCUUCGUCACUUGACGGUACCAGAUGAAUAAGCACCGGCUAACUCCGUGCCAGCAGCCGCGGUAAUACGGAGGGUGCAAGCGUUAUCCGGAUUCACUGGGUUUAAAGGGUGCGUAGGCGGGCAGGUAAGUCAGUGGUGAAAUCCUAGAGCUUAACUCUAGAACUGCCAUUGAUACUAUCUGUCUUGAAUAUUGUGGAGGUAAGCGGAAUAUGUCAUGUAGCGGUGAAAUGCUUAGAUAUGACAUAGAACACCUAUUGCGAAGGCAGCUUACUACGCAUAUAUUGACGCUGAGGCACGAAAGCGUGGGGAUCAAACAGGAUUAGAUACCCUGGUAGUCCACGCCCUAAACGAUGAUUACUCGACAUUUGUGAUACACUAUAAGUGUUNUGAGACGAAGACAUUAAGUAAUACCACCGUACGGAAGGUACGACCCGACCGAAGGUUAGUAAACGUACGAAAGAAGUAGUAGACGACGAGAGAGCGACGGACGGACGACGACGGAGGGAGGAGG
rnacentral:rRNA from 1 species